rnacentral:rRNA from 1 species
GAUGAACGCUGGCGGCGUGCCUAAUACAUGCAAGUCGAGCGAACGGACGAGAAGCUUGCUUCUCUGAUGUUAGCGGCGGACGGGUGAGUAACACGUGGAUAACCUACCUAUAAGACUGGGAUAACUUCGGGAAACCGUAGCUAAUACCGGAUAAUAUUUUGAACCGCAUGGUUCAAAAGUGAAAGACGGUCUUGCUGUCUCUUCUAGAUGGAUCCGCGCUGCAUUAGCUAGUUGGUAAGGUAAAGGCUUACCAAGGCAACGAUGCAUAGCCGACCUGAGAGAGUGAUCGGCCACACGAGAACUGAGACACGGUCCAGACUCCUACGGGAGGCAGCAGUAGGGAAUCUGCCGCAAUGGGCGAAAGCCUGACGGAGCAACGCCGCGUGAGUGAUGAAGGUCUCCGGAUCGUAAAACUCUGUUAUUAGGGAAGAACAUAUGUGUAAGUAACUGUGCACAUCGUGACGGUACCUAAUCAGAAAGCCACGGCUAACUACGUG